GGGCCGCGGUAAUUUGACCGUGCAAAGGUAGCAUAGUAGUUAGUUUUUUAAUUGAGAUCUUGUAUGAAUGGUUGGACAAAAGAAAUACUGUCUCUAUGAUUUUUAUUGAAUUUAACUUUUGAGUGAAAAGGCUUAAAUUAUUUAAAAAGACGAUAAGACCCUAUAAAGCUUGAUAAAUAAAUUUUCUAGAGUUGAGGUAUAGAUAAUGUUUUAGUGAGUUGAAUUAUUUUGUUGGGGAGAUAAUAUUAUAAUUAAUAGUAACUGUAAAUAAAUAAUACAUUGAUGUAUGUAUAAUUAAAAUAAAAGAUCCUAUUAUAAAGAUUAGAAGUUUAAGUUACUUUAGGGAUAACAGCGUUAUUUUUUUUAAGAGUCCAUAUCGAAAAAAGAGAUUGCGACCUCGAUGUUGAAUUAAAAAUUCUAAAUAAUCGUAGCAGUUAUUUGAGAAGGUCUGUUCGACCUUUAAAUUUUUA
rnacentral:rRNA from 1 species